rnacentral:rRNA from 1 species
CCUACGGGAGGCAGCAGUGAGGAAUAUUGGUCAAUGGACGAGAGUCUGAACCAGCCAAGUAGCGUGAAGGAUGACUGCCCUAUGGGUUGUAAACCUCUUUUGUCGGGGAGCAAAGCGAACCACGUGUGGUUCAUUGAGAGUACCCGAAGAAAAAGCAUCGGCUAACUCCGUGCCAGCCGCCGCGGUAAUACGGAGGAUGCGAGCGUUAUCCGGAUUUAUUGGGUUUAAAGGGUGCGCAGGCGGAGGUGCAAGUCAGCGGUCAAAUUGCGGGGCUCAACCCCGUACUGCCGUUGAAACUGCAUCCCUUGAGUGCGCGAGAAGUAUGCGGAAUGCGUGGUGUAGCGGGGAAAUGCAUAGAUAUCACGCAGAACUCCGAUUGCGAAGGCAGCAUACCGGCGCGCAACUGACGCUCAUGCACGAAAGCGUGGGUAUCGAACAGGAUUAGAUACCCGGGUAGUC